rnacentral:rRNA from 1 species
CGAAAGUUACGCUAAUACCGCAUAUUCUGUGAGCAGGAAAGCAGGGGAUCGCAAGACCUUGCGCUGAUUGAGCGGCCGAUAUCAGAUUAGCUAGUUGGUGAGGUAAAGGCUCACCAAGGCGACGAUCUGUAGCGGGUCUGAGAGGAUGAUCCGCCACACUGGAACUGAGACACGGUCCAGACUCCUACGGGAGGCAGCAGUGGGGAAUUUUGGACAAUGGGCGCAAGCCUGAUCCAGCCAUGCCGCGUGAGUGAAGAAGGCCUUCGGGUUGUAAAGCUCUUUCAGCCGGGAAGAAAACGCAUGGGUUAAUACCCUGUGUGGAUGACGGUACCGGAAUAAGAAGCACCGGCUAACUACGUG